UACGGAGGGUGCAAGCGUUAUCCGGAUUCACUGGGUUUAAAGGGAGCGUAGGCGGCUUUGCAAGUCGGGUGUGAAAUCCCCAGGCUUAACCUGGGAACUGCAUUCGAGACUGCAUUGCUAGAGUAUGGGAGAGGGAAGUGGAAUUUCCGGUGUAGCGGUGAAAUGCGUAGAUAUCGGAAGGAACAUCAGUGGCGAAAGCGACUUCCUGGACAGACAUUGACGCUGAGGUGCGAAAGCGUGGGGAGCAAACAGG
rnacentral:rRNA from 1 species